rnacentral:rRNA from 1 species
GACCCGUCUUGAAACACGGACCAAGGAGUCUAACAUGUGCGCGAGUCAUUGGGACAUCGCAUGCCUAAAGGCGAAAUGAAAGUAAAGGUCGGCCUUAGCGCCAACCGAGGGAGGAUGGGCCGCGUCAAGAUGCGGCUCCGCACUCCCGGGGCGUCUCGUUCUCAUUGCGAGAAGAGGCGCACCCAGAGCGUACACGUUGGGACCCGAAAGAUGGUGAACUAUGCCUGGUCAGGACGAAGUCAGGGGAAACCCUGAUGGAGGUCCGUAGCGAUUCUGACGUGCAAAUCGAUCGUCGGAACUGGGUAUAGGGGCGAAAGACUAAUCGAACCAUCUAGUAGCUGGUUCCUUCCGA